rnacentral:lncRNA from 1 species
AGUGAAUUAGUCUGGAAAUAUAUUCUGGAAGGACUGUUAUUUUAUCUGAGUCUGCAAACCCCAUGAGGACAGUAAGCAUAUUUGCCCUAUUCACCCCAUAUCCUCAGUGCCUAGAAAAAUGUCUGGUUAUGUAGUAAAUGCUUAGCAAAUAUUGACAGAAGUGGGUGAAUUAUGGAAACAGACAGAGCAAUUACAAUGACAUAUUAUAUUAUCCUCUCCAAAGGGGUUACAAACUACAUAUAAAGCAAUCAUAAUCUGGCACUCCUGCUACAGAAGUUAUAGGAUAAAAAAAAUAACUGCUUGAUACCUUUUUAUUCACAAGGAUGAGCAUUUUAUAGAGAGGAAGAGAAGAGUAUAAGAGGUAGAAAUUACAGAGCUUAUAAUUUAGGUAACAUGGAAGUAGGGAAAUUGAAAUUUCUGUCAUAAUAACUGGCUCAAUAAUAUAUAUGAUUUUUUUUUUUCUCACACAGGUUAAACAACUGAUGCUUUACAGUAUACUGUGUUGCUAAGCUAUGAUAUUCAGAAAGUUAGGUAUCUUAAUUGCAUUUUCCAAUUGCAAUAUUUUACUGGUGACAGGCUUAUCAAGGUGUAGCCCAUCAUAAGCUAAAAAGAAUCUGCAUGUCCUCACAAUGACCGAAUCCCAGCUUUGCAUCACAGAACAACAUGGGAACUUCAAACUUUGCAACUAAAUUAAAGUUGCAGUGCACAACUAGCACUCUCUGAACCUGGCUGAGAAAAGUAAAAAUCCUCUCUGGAAGAAGGUAACUUUAAUUUAUGCCUCAAAUUGUUUCUACAAAUAAGUUUCCAAAUACACAAGAAGUAAAAGUACAUUGCAGUAAAGAAACCAUAAGCAAGAGUCCAUCAAAAAGACCAGAAAAUGAAACCCUGAGGGACCCUGGUAUUAUAAUUAUCAGACACAGAAUAUGAAACAAAAGUGUUUGGUGUAUUCAAG